GAGAGCCGUAACACAGGUGCUGCAUGGCUGUCGUCAGCUCGUGUCGUGAGAUGUUGGGUUAAGUCCCGCAACGAGCGCAACCCUUGUCAUUAGUUGCUACAUUCAGUUGGGCAACUCUAAUGAGACUGCCGGUGACAAGCCGGAGGAAGGUGGGGAUGACGUCAAGUCCCCGUGGCCCUUAUAGUGGGGCUACACACGUCAUACAAUGGCUGGUACAAAGGGUUGCCAACCCGCGAGGGGGAGCCAAUCCCAUAAAGCCAGUCGUAGUCCGGAUCGUAGUCUGCAACUCGACUACGUGAAGUCGGAAUCGCUAGUAAUCGUGGAUCAGAAUGUCCACGGUCGAAUACGUUCCCGGGUCCUU
rnacentral:rRNA from 1 species